GUGCUUACUUCGGCAGUACACAUACUAAGAUUGGAACGAUACAGAGAAGUAUAGCAUGGCCCGUGUGAAAGGAUGACACACAAAUUCUUGAAGCGUUCAGAAAAAGU
ensembl:snRNA U6 U6 spliceosomal RNA